rnacentral:lncRNA from 1 species
AAACCUGCAAGUGUGUUAAGAGACAAGGUAGAUGCCAAGGCUGCUGUACACACCAGAAAGUGGCUUUCUGUGGUUGGGAAUUUCUGUUUCUUUUAUCAUGAGCAAGUACAAUGUGGGGCUGGAGAGCAAGAGAAAUUACUUGGCUUGCUACCAAGCAUUUUUCAAAGCAGCACCCUUCACUUUCUCUUCCUUGGUUUGAGCCAACCACAGGGGAGAGCAAUGUCUAAUAAGCCAUGGAUCUUACUCAGAAGGCUACUCUGCAGCCAUGCACACACACACACACACACACACACACACACAGAGCUAGUAGCCUUAAUGGAACUUUAAAGACAUGUGGCACUUGCAGUUCCUAAUAAACUCAAUCUCAGUGGGGUAAGUAUACCUCCAAUGGUUUAAUUAAGGUUUCCAGGGGGGGACAUACAAUCUUUUCCUCCUCCCCCUCUUCCUCCUCU